rnacentral:lncRNA from 1 species
GUAAUUAAGUUGCUCACUUCUCUGUUUCAGUUGCAAGAACCUCUAUGUCAUUCCUGUACAAAUCCAUUCAGAAGCGACAAGGGCGAGGCACAGAAAUGGGAAACAGAAAGGUUGGGGAGAGACAACUUCCAUUGGCCUGUUCCUGCUGCUUGCUGCGUAACCUGCCACCCUCACACCCAGGAACUGAGCCUCAAGACAGGAGAUCGAGACACAGCCCCACCCCAGAUGCAGGGAGAGGAGUUCUCGGCGGCUGAUCUCUCGCUCCUCGGAGACUCCUCAGCCAUGGAGGAUCUGUCAGUCUGGCCGCGAAAGAGCCACCCCAGCAACACUUGACGGGCGUAGCAAACAUGUGCCCAAAACAAAUACACCAGACUGGAUUUGGGAGGCCAAUGUUAUGGCAGCCGACUGAAGAGGCUGAUGUCAUCCUGUAUUAUGUCAGGUGAAGGACAGGUGAGCACGGCUGGGUCAGAGUAGCUUCACUGGCCAAAAAGGACAACGGCUGGUGUGACCCCCAGAUCAGCAAGAACAUACUGAUGUGGCUUAGGGCCCUCGUAUUUAUGGGACCGCCUCUCCUGGUCUGCCCCGCAGAGGACCUUAAAGUCCAUGAAUAAUCCUAGUUUAGAAGAAGUCCCAGGCCCUAAGGAAGUCAGACUAUCCUCCCCCAGGGCCAGGGCCUUCUCAGUGGUGGGUCCGACCUGGUGGAACGCUCUGUCCCAUGAGACCAGGGCCCUGCAGGAUUUAACUUCCUUCCGCAGGGCCUGUAAGACAGAGCUAUUCCGCCUGACUUUCAAUUUUUCAAUUUGAACCUAUCCUGAUCUUUUAUUCCCCUUUCUUCCCUCCCCCUCCCCUUUUUAUGAAGAUUGCCCGCUCUGGGAUCCCACAGCUAAUUCUCCCCUGGUCUCCUCACUGGCCCAAAUAGGACUAAUUUAGCCAGCUAGCCCUGGUGAUCAUCUAAUGUUUAUUGGAUGGAUUUUCCACCUAAAUUGAUUUUUGAAUUCUGAAUUUAUUGUCAUUCACAUUUUAUACUGCAUUUUAUGCUGUUUUUAUUGCAUCAAUUAAGUGUUUUAAAUUUGUUGUUAGCCGCCCUGAGCCCGCUUUUCUGAACUGGGAAGGGUGGGGUAUAAAUAAAAUUAUUAUUAUUAUUAUUAUUAUUAUUAUUAUUAUUAUUAUUAUUAUUAUUAGAGGAGCCUUCUGGACCAGGCCAAUGGCCCAUCCUAUUCUCACAGUGGCUGAACAGUUGCCUAUUAUGGGAAACCAGCAAGGAGGAUGCAAGCACAAGAGCUGGUUUCAGAAGACUGCUGCCCCCAUGAAUUUGUCUAAUCCUUUUUUAAAGCCAGCAUCUUGAGAAGUAGAGACAUCACCUUGCCGACAAAGGUCCGUAUAGUU